rnacentral:SRP_RNA from 1 species
GGUGGCGACGGCGGAAGUCGGUGAACCUUGUCAGGACGGGAACGUAGCAGCAAUAAGCCAUAAACUUUCGGGUGUCGCCUCUUUU